UGCAAGUCGAGCGCCCCCUCGGGGGAGCGGCAGACGGGUGAGUAAUGCAUGGGAAUCUACCUGGCUCUACGGAAUAACUCAGGGAAACUUGAACUAAUACCGUAUACGUCCUCCGGGAGAAAGAUUUAUCGGAGUUAGAUGAGCCCAUGUCUGAUUAGCUAGUUGGUGAGGUAAAGGCUCACCAAGGCGACGAUCAGUAGCUGGUCUGAGAGGAUGAUCAGCCACACUGGGACUGAGACACGGCCCAGACUCCUACGGGAGGCAGCAGUGGGGAAUAUUGGACAAUGGGCGCAAGCCUGAUCCAGCCAUGCCGCGUGAGUGAUGAAGGCCCUAGGGUUGUAAAGCUCUUUCACCGGUGAAGAUAAUGACGGUAACCGGAGAAGAAGCCCCGGCUAACUUCGUGCCAGCAGCCGCGGUAAUACGAAGGGGGCUAGCGUUGUUCGGAAUUACUGGGCGUAAAGCGCGCGUAGGCGGAUCGGUCAGUUAGGGGUGAAAUCCCGGGGCUCAACCCCGGAACUGCCUCUAAUACUGCCGAUCUAGAGUUCGAGAGAGGUGAGUGGAAUUCCGAGUGUAGAGGUGAA
rnacentral:rRNA from 1 species